rnacentral:rRNA from 1 species
CGGUCUGGGAUGGACUCGCGGCCUAUCAGCUUGUUGGUGGGGUAAUGGCCUACCAAGGCGACGACGGGUAGCCGGCCUGAGAGGGCGACCGGCCACACUGGGACUGAGACACGGCCCAGACUCCUACGGGAGGCAGCAGUGGGGAAUAUUGCACAAUGGGCGCAAGCCUGAUGCAGCGACGCCGCGUGAGGGAUGAAGGCCUUCGGGUUGUAAACCUCUUUCAGCAGGGAAGAAGCGCAAGUGACGGUACCUGCAGAAGAAGCGCCGGCUAACUACGUGCCAGCAGCCGCGGUAAUACGUAGGGCGCAAGCGUUGUCCGGAAUUAUUGGGCGUAAAGAGCUCGUAGGCGGUUUGUCGCGUCUGGUGUGAAAACUCAAGGCUCAACCUUGAGCUUGCAUCGGGUACGGGCAGACUAGAGUGCGGUAGGGGUGACUGGAAUUCCUGGUGUAGCGGUGGAAUGCGCAGAUAUCAGGAGGAACACCGAUGGCGAAGGCAGGUCACUGGGCCGCAACUGACGCUGAGGAGCGAAAGCAUGGGGAGCGAACAGGAUUAGAUACCCUGGUAGUCCAUGCCGUAAACGUUGGGCACUAGGUGUGGGGCUCAUUCCACGAGUUCCGUGCCGCAGCA